AAUCAAUCUAUGCAGCCUUAGAGAUUGUUCAUUUUUAAAAUGAUACACAAUUAUCCAUAUCCAAAUAUACAAAUAAAUUUUAGUACAUAGCUUCUAAAAUGGCCCCCAAUAGUCUCUGCCUCCUAAAAUUUACAUCCUUAUGUAAUCUCUAUGUCUUGAAUGUGAGUUGGACCUAAUACCUUCCUUCUAAUGUCUCUGGCAAAAAAAUGAUUGAUUUGAGAUUAGAUUACAAAAAACUGUGACUUUCAUUUUGUGUCUCUCUCUCUCUCUGUUCUUGUUUUGAGAGAAGCAAGCAGCAUUGUUGGGAAUAGGCCCACAUGGCAAGAAAGCAGGAAGGUAACAGGUAACAGUCCAAUGAUCGCAUUUCGAAGUGGUGCUUUCAUACGUCAAGUCUGAAGAUGACUCCUGCCCUGGUUAACAUCUCCAUUACAACCUUGUGAAAGAUCUUGAGUUAAAGGUAAAUAACACCCCUCCGCAAUUCGACCUUCCAGGACUACCUCAACUGGACUCAUUGACUGGCCUCUGAAUUUUAGUAUGUUCUUUGUUCCUGUGUUACUCUCAUAAUUCACCACAUUUUACUGAAGAUCUCUCCUUCUCCAAGGAACUGACCAUUUGUCUCACCCACUUAGCUUCUGAGAGAUAAAGAACAAUUCAAAUUCGUCUUGAUAUUUUUAUAAAUUCAUGACUCAUUCAAUAAUAAUCUUGACCCCAGCAGUUACUUCAUUAACAAAAGACUAAUUUCAAUACCAUAAUUGUAAGAGGCUUCUAGCAUGAAAACAUUUAUAUUUUCUGUAUUCUGCCUACAACUUAAGGCAUAGAAGGAUAUGAUAAAUUAAAGAUACGUGAGCUAACAUUGUGGUUUCUUUUACAGCAAAAUUAAUAUAUUGGAAUUUCACCUCUUUUUGAAAUUUUUAGAGAGUUUAGAUAUGCUUUAUCUGGAGACUGUUGAAAAAACAUAUAUCCUAAAAGCAACUGCACAAUGUAUGUAUAAUAUUAGAGACCUUUACUCUAUAAAUUAGCAACUCCCA
rnacentral:lncRNA from 1 species